AUACGGAGGGUGCGAGCGUUAAUCGGAAUUACUGGGCGUAAAGCGUACGUGGGCGGUUGGUUAAGUUAGAUGUGAAAGCCCCGGGCUUAACCUGGGAACUGCAUUUAAAACUGGCGAACUAGAGUUGAGUAGAGGGGAGUGGAAUUUCAGGUGUAGCGGUGAAAUGCGUAGAGAUCUGAAGGAACACCAGUGGCGAAGGCGACUCCCUGGACUCGAACUGACGCUGAGGUACGAAAGCGUGGGUAGCAAACGGGAUUAGAUACCCCAGUAGUCC
rnacentral:rRNA from 1 species